rnacentral:lncRNA from 1 species
CUCUUUGUGCACCCGCCCACACGGUUUGCCGUGUUUUCACCCUUCUUUGUUCUCCACCGGUCUGGGCAGGGUCUGAGGACUCCGGAGAGCAAGGCAUGGGUCCGCCUCGUGCCGCAGGUUCCUGGCCCACGCCAGCCGUACCCAGUAGCACAAUGGGAUUUGAGGACACACGCCAGCUGCCUACACCUGAAGAAAGGGUGAGCUCUGAGGACUUCACAGGGGCCCCAUCCCCUCACCUAGAUGAGGGCUAACCUUGGAAUCCAGACAAAGGUGGAAGUGACCUAGAUGUGACCUGAAUGAGCUAAUCAUCUAAUGAGAGCCAGCCCUUUGUCCUGCCCACAUGAAGGGCUUUGCUGCUACGCACUGACAAGUUGGACGGCUUUUUAUUGCUUUGUUGCCAGUUAUCUGAACAUGAGAGGCUGUAAGGUGUAAUCUGCGAGCCCUGCGCCCAGACUGAACCAGGGCCUCCCUUGAACAUGAGUAUUAGACAAAUGAAAUAAGAACUUAUCUUGCCCAGACUAUAUAAUGGCUUGGAAAUGCAUAGUUUCCUGAACGAUCUCAAUAAAAUACUUUUAAAAGUACUUAAAAAAAAAAAAA